rnacentral:rRNA from 1 species
CGGCACGGGUGCGUAACGCGUGGGAAUCUGCCCCUUGGUUCGGAAUAACAGUUAGAAAUGACUGCUAAUACCGGAUGAUGUCUUCGGACCAAAGAUUUAUCGCCAAGGGAUGAGCCCGCGUAGGAUUAGCUAGUUGGUGAGGUAAAAGCUCACCAAGGCGACGAUCAGUAGCUGGUCUGAGAGGAUGAUCAGCCACAUUGGGACUGAGACACGGCCCAA